rnacentral:rRNA from 1 species
AUAGCGUAUAUUAAAGUUGUUGCCGUUAAAAAGCUCGUAGUCGAACUUCGGUCCCUGUUGGUCGGUCCGCCUUCUUGGUGUGUACUUACUCAACGGGGACUUACCUCCUGGUGAGCUGCGAUGUCCUUUACUGGGUGUCGUAGGGAACCAGGACGUUUACUUUGAAAAAAUUAGAGUGUUCAAAGCAGGCCUACGCCCGAAUACAUUAGCAUGGAAUAAUAGAAUAGGACGCGCGUUCCCAUUUUGUUGGUUUCUGAGAUCGCCGUAAUGAUUAAUAGGGAUAGUUGGGGGCAUUUGUAUUCCGGCGUCAGAGGUGAAAUUCUUGGAUUGCCGGAAGACAAACUACUG